AUGCGGGACCGGGGAAGUGGGGCCUGGCCGUGCGCUUCGCCGGCGCUGCCCCGGAGCCGUCCCCGCUGCGGAGAGUUGCGGGAGAUGGCAUCGCUCUGCUCUCUGCCGUUUCGGCGCCUGAAGGAGGGAAGCAUUUGGAACCCAGGACUCAGACCGAUGACCCAGGGCCUUUGCAGCCGCGGGCACGGCAGCCUAGCGCCGGCUGCUUCCGAGCGCGUUCCUCCAGCAAGGGCACGGCUGUCGACCUGCGCGCCCCGGGUCGCGAUCGGGUUCAAGGCGACUCCUGAGAACGGGCAGGCCUUCCACCGACGAGGGGACACACGGACGAGGUCGCUCUGGAACCCGAAGCCGCACCAGCUUUCAAGAACUCCACGGCCGUCGUUAAGAUUCUGGAACUUGGAAUUUGUGAAAUACAGCCGCUCAUCUCAGAACGUGGCUCCUCCCAGGGCACCCCCAAGAAAGUGGGCACCCAUCAUGGCCUUUGGAAGAUGCUCCGGGACUGCACCAGGUCUCACCCCUUCUUUCCAGCUGCUUCAUUCCCUGCGUGACACCGGAAGCUCGGACAACAGUGCCAGCUCAGGUCAAAAAGUGGUGGCGAGACAGGAGCUGCUGACCUCGGCCGAGCUUCCUCACCGUGAGCUGGGGUUAGGGCAGGCCCCUGGGCCAGGCCAUGCCCACCCUACAGGGCUACCUCACUGCCUGCCCCACUCGUCCCAGCCCGGCCUGAGCCCACGGCCUGGUCCCCGACCCCGGGGGGCAUGCACGCCCCCUCUGGCUGGAUGCCCGGGUAACAUCUGGCACCACAGCAUGCCCCUCCUACCAUCCUUGCUCUGGGAAGUAGGGAGCCAUGGAGGAUUUUAUGAUGGGGAGGGACAUGGUAGAACAGUGUCCCGCCUCGUUCAUCUCCGAGCCCUGCUGUCAGGUACAGAGGUCCUUAGAAGGGGACCUGAUGGUGUCACUGCCCAACCUGUGCCCUAG
rnacentral:lncRNA from 1 species